rnacentral:tRNA from 1 species
GGAUUGUGGCACAGAGGUAGAGAGCUCGUCUAGCAUGCGUGAGCACUGGGUUCGAUCCUCAGCACCA